GAUGAAGAACGCAGCGAAAUGCGAUAAGUAAUGUGAAUUGCAGAAUUCAGUGAAUCAUCGAAUCUUUGAACGCAUCUUGCGCUCCUUGGUAUUCUGAGGAGCAUGCCUGUUUGAGUGUCAUUAAAUUCUUAACUACACUGACUUUGAAUUGGUGUGGCUUGGAUUUGGGGGGAAAAUUGUUGUGGGCUUUUUGUAUAGUCUGCUCCCCUGAAAUUGAUUAGCGGUACCUUUGUGGAACUGUCUACAGGUGUGAUAAUUAUCUACAUCUUAGACAUCUGCUGGAAUGCUGCUUUCUAAACCUUACUUGUAUUGACAAUCUUGACCUCAAAUCAGGUAGGACUACCCGCUGAACUUAAGCAUAUCAAUAAGCGGAGGA
rnacentral:misc_RNA from 1 species